GACGAACGCUGGCGGCGUGCCUAACACAUGCAAGUCGAGCGAAGGAUCCUGAGGGCUUGCCCGAAGGAUGACUUAGCGGCGGACGGGUGAGUAACGCGUGAACAAUCUGGCCUUUACAGGGGGAUAACAACCGGAAACAGUUGCUAAUACCGCAUAUGACCACAGUACCGCAUGGUACAGGGGUGAAAGAUUUAUCGGUAAAGGAUGGGCCUGCGUCUGAUUAGCUAGUUGGUGGGGUAACGGCCUACCAAGGCGAUGAUCAGUAGCCGGUCUGAGAGGAUGAACGGCCACAUUGGGACUGAGACACGGCCCAGACUCCUACGGGAGGCAGCAGUGAGGGAUAUUGCACAAUGGGCGCAAGCCUGAUGCAGCGACGCCGCGUGAGGGAAGACGGUCCUCUGGAUUGUAAACCUCUGUCUUAUGGACGAAGAUGACGGUACCAUAGGAGGAAGCCCCGGCUAACUACGUGCCAGCAG
rnacentral:rRNA from 1 species